GGGGUCGAAGUGGCAACCCAUGAAACCGAGAAUAAACGAGAGGCCUGCCCUGAGUAAAGUUGCAAAAGUUUCAGUCCAUGGACACUUGCUGCUGGAAGACAUGGGAGAGAGAGUCAAGCUACAGCAGUAGGGAUUGAUUCAUCUCAGAAUUACAGAAGACCUAAAGCCAAGAAUCACCAGGAACACAGAGAGGCCAAAUCUCCCGUGGUUUCCUAAGCCUGGCCAAUGGGUGAGGGCAAGAGUAUGGGGAGCAGAAAGGAUGGAGUGGGGGAGCAGCUACCAUAGUAAUUCACAGUG
rnacentral:lncRNA from 1 species